GAAUUUGAUUAACGCGAAGAACCUUACCAGGUCUUGACAUCUUCUGCUAACCUAAGAGAUUAGGCGUUCCCUUCGGGGACGGAAUGACAGGUGGUGCAUGGUUGUCGUCAGCUCGUGUCGUGAGAUGUUGGGUUAAGUCCCGCAACGAGCGCAACCCUUAUUGUCAGUUGCCAGCAUUUAGUUGGGCACUCUGGCGAGACUGCCGGUGACAAACCGGAGGAAGGUGGGGAUGACGUCAAAUCAUCAUGCCCCUUAUGACCUGGGCUACACACGUGCUACAAUGGACGGUACAACGAGUCGCGAAACCGCGAGGUCAAGCGAAUCUCUAAAAACCAUCCUCAGUUCGGAUUGCAGGCUGCAACUCGCCUGCAUGAAGCUGGAAUCGCUAGUAAUCGCGGAUCAGC
rnacentral:rRNA from 1 species